UACGUAGGGUGCGAGCGUUAAUCGGAAUUACUGGGCGUAAAGCGUGCGCAGGCGGAGGAUUAAGUCAGUGGUGAAAGCUGGUAGCUUAACUAUCAAAUUGCCAUUGAAACUGAUUUUCUCGAGUACGAUUGAGGUAGCUGGAAUGUAACAUGUAGCGGUGAAAUGCAUAGAUAUGUUACGGAACACCAAUUGCGAAGGCAGGCUACUAAGUCGUAACUGACGCUGAGGCACGAAAGCGUGGGGAUCAAACAGGAUUAGAUACCCUGGUAGUCCACGCUGUAAACGUUGCAUACUCGGUCUUAGCGAUAUACAGUUAGGGCCUAAGCGAAAGCAUUAAGUAUGCCACCUGGGGAGUACGGUCGCAAGAUUGAA
rnacentral:rRNA from 1 species